rnacentral:rRNA from 1 species
GAUGAACGCUGGCGGCGUGCCUAAUACAUGCAAGUCGAGCGAACAGAUGAGGAGCUUGCUCCUCUGACGUUAGCGGCGGACGGGUGAGUAACACGUGGAUAACCUACCUAUAAGACUGGGAUAACUUCGGGAAACCGGAGCUAAUACCGGAUAAUAUAUUGAACCGCAUGGUUCAAUAGUGAAAGACGGUUUUGCUGUCACUUAUAGAUGGAUCCGCGCCGCAUUAGCUAGUUGGUACGGUAACGGCUUACCAAGGCAACGAUGCGUAGCCGACCUGAGAGGGUGAUCGGCCACACUGGAGCUGAGACACGGUCAAGACUCCUACGGGAGGCAGCAGUAGGGAAUCGUCGGCAAUGGGCGAAAGCCUGACGGAGCAACGCGGCGUGAGUGAUGAAGGUCUUCGGAUCGUAAAACUCUGUUAUUAGGGAAGAACAAAUGUGUAAGUAACUAUGCACGUCUUGACGGUACCGAAUCAGAAAGCAACGGCUAACUACGUG